UACGAGGGGGGCGAGCGUUGUUCGGAAUUAUUGGGCGUAAAGGGUGCGUAGGCGGUUUGGUAAGUCUGAUGUGAAAUCUAUGGGCUCAACUCAUAGUCUGCAUCGGAAACUGCCGAGCUUGAGUGUGGGAGAGGUGAGUGGAAUUCCUGGUGUAGCGGUGAAAUGCGUAGAUAUCAGGAGGAACACCUGUGGCGAAAGCGGCUCACUGGACCAUAACUGACGCUGAUGCACGAAAGCUAGGGGAGCAAACAGG
rnacentral:rRNA from 1 species